AGUCUUCUCCAAUUAUUCGCCCAUCUCUCUCUCUCUUCUUCCUCCUCUCCUCCAUGAAAGCUAGGGAAAUUAACUAAGGGCAGUGGUGCACCACAAGUUGGUGAAGCUGCCAGCAUGAUCUGAUGAUGAUGAUGAUCCACCUCUCUCAUCUGUGUUCUUGAUUAAUUACGGAUCAAUCGAUCAGGUCAUGCUGUAGUUUCAUCUGCUGGUUGGGAGCACAGCAAAAAAAAACCCUAACUUUGUAGCCGGAUUUGCAUGGAUUAAUCUGCUAGGUAGCUCAUCAGAUUCUUUGAGAGUUUGCCUUGCUCUUCUGCAGAUGAAGACGUAAUCUUUGAACAGAUGGGAUUCUCAACUCUCAAGGUGAGGUAGUCAUCAAUCCAAUCCAUAUACCUGCUCAAAUUCAGUUUUAAUUAAAGACUAGCUGCUUCUAUGGAGUUAAUUAGGGAUCCUUUUUUAUAGAUCUCUCUUGAUCUGUUUCUUAGUCUGUUCUUUCUUAAUAAGGCAUAUAUACCUCUUGGAUUUGGAUUUUCUUGAAAAUUAAGGUAGUUUAUGAGUUGGAUGUGUUGUGUUAUCUGCCCAGCCUUAAUUUAACUGUGCUUCCUAAAAAUUCGUUUGAUUUGAUGGUAGCAUCUGAAUUGUGAACUCAUCUUUGGAGCUUGGACUUUAGACCAGGUGCCUUAAUUCCUUAACAUAAGAUUUGGUCCAUAUUGUUUAUGGAGCUUCUUAUCAAGAAAUACUCUUUUGAUUAGGGAGUCCCCUUGUCACUUUCUUCAGUUGUGCAGGUACAUAUGACAUAUCUGUAUUAAACUGAUGACAUUCAUAACCAACUGUCCAAGUAGGGAUUCAUAUCUUUCUACUAAUUGCAGAAUGUUUUCUUGGCUGAAGGAAGUUUAAUCUAACUGUUCAAGUUAGUUGCUUGGUUAGCUGAUAGUGAUCCCUGUGUUUUCUAGUUGUUGAUACUGCAUAUACAUAUAUCUGUGACAUAUGGCUAGUUCUUGUUUGUUGUGUGUAGAUAAGAUACAUACAAGAUUCUGAUCUCUGCAGCAAAAGAAACAAAGCUUCCUUUUUUCUCUUGUUUUAUCCCCUAAUAUAUCUCUUCUUUUGCAGUUCUAGCUAGCAAUUUCACUGUAAAACAUGUGUAUUACCGAUCAAUACUGGCAUAUAUCUGAACUUGAUGCAAUACAUGUGUAUUACUGAUCAAUACAUAAAACUGAAAAUGUGGAACAUAUCUGCUAAUUAUUUUCAUGAGUGUGGCUUUGAUUAUUGUGAUCUUGCCACUUGCCAGCAAUGAUGUUAGCUAGUGAUGGGAAUAUCACCUGACCAAAGGAGGGACAUGAUUAACCUUGCUAAUUAAGUAACAAGAAAAGGAGGAGGGGGCAAAAGAAUUAUGGAAUGGGUUUUCUUGACCUGAAGACAAGUAGUAAGAUUUGCUAAUGCUUGCUUGCAAGAUAUGCAUGCCUAACCACAAAACAAGGAGUUUGGCACUACAAAACUGAAUGAUGAUUGCCUCUUGCUUGAAGGAUGAAACUGCUGCCCAUCUUUUGAUCAUGGCACCCCCUUCGCAUAUGCAUGAUUGCCCACACUUUUCUCCUCUUUUGGGCUCUGUACUAUGGAGAUAUUCAAGCCAUUUUCUUGAGAUUUUCUCUGCAAUGUAAUGACCUGUUCUGUCCCUUGAUGUUUCACUUGCAAAGGAGACUGUACUACAGCAUCUCUCUCUCUAGUCUCUACCUCUCUUGAUGUUUCACUUGCAAAGGAGAUUGUACUACACCACCAUCUCUCUCUACCAAUCUCUCUCUCUCUCUCUCUAAUUAGUUGCAAGUUUUGUUGGCAUCUCUAACCACCUCUCCACACUCAUGGUCAUGGCCAUGGCUAGCACAUUUGUCACCUAGCUUGCAUUGCAUGGUCCUUUGGAAGAUUCAUGGGCCACACACACAUGGUGACAUUCAUGCAAAGCUCCAAGCAGGUCUCCUUUAUUGUGAUUUGGUCAGCUAGCUGGUUUGUUACAAGAUGCCCACAACCUUUGUCCUUUCAAUUCAAUGCAGUGUGCAGUGUGUGCCUGCAACUUUCAUAUACAUGUUGUACCAUCAUGUGUCCUCUUCCUGGCUUGCAAAAAUGUAAUGGCUAAUCACAUCCAUCAUGCUUGCAAAUUAAGCUAAUUAAUUAAUCACAGGUGGCUAGCUAAUUACCAACUGAUGAUGAUGAUUAGUGACAGGCAAAGAUGAUAAUCUAGAUAUCUUGUUCUUCUCACUACUGUCUUGUCAUUGUUGGCGUGGAGUGCAAUGCUGCCGUUUGUGUGGCUCCAGAAAGGUUGCCGGCUUUGCUGCCCUUCUCUCCAUGUUCUUGUCUGAAUCCUGAACAUUUUAACAACCGUGUCUUUUUCUCUUCUUCCUUUUCCUCUUUGCUGACAAGUUGAUGGUUUUGAGAUAUCUAUUGUUCUGCUUGUUUUUGUUUUUGCAUGUGAAGUCAUAUUCAGAUGGUUUGCAAGGAUUAGAAGUCAUGGGUGUACUGUGUGCAAAUUGAACUUGUCAGGAACAGUGACUGAAUUUUAUUGUUCAGGCUUUGCUUGUCUGAACUCAAGAAGAGGUAGAGCUAGGGUGUUAUUUUUUUUAUCUGAUUUAUGUGAUACAUAAUCAACUACCAUUCGUUUGACAGAACAAGAUUGAUAGGUGCAUGUUCAGAGAAGUUCCUUC
rnacentral:sRNA from 1 species